GAGGGUAUAGCUCAAGUGGUAGAGUGCAUGCUUAGCAUGCACGAGGCCCUGGGUUCAAUCCCCAGUACCUUCU
rnacentral:tRNA from 1 species